rnacentral:rRNA from 1 species
GCUGCGGCUGGAUCACCUGCAAGUCGAGGGUUACAGGAGCUUGCUCCGCUGACGACCGGCGCACGGGUGCGCACCGCGUAUGGAACCUGCCUUCUACAGGGGAAUAGCCCAGGGAAACUUGGAUUAAUGCCCCGUGGUACCGUUGAUUGGCAUCAACUAACGGUUAAAGCCUUCGGGCGGUAGAAGAUGGCCAUGCGUCCCAUUAGCUGGUUGGUAAGGUAACGGCUUACCAAGGCUACGAUGGGUAGGGGCCCUGAGAGGGGGAUCCCCCACACUGGUACUGAGACACGGACCAGACUCCUACGGGAGGCAGCAGUGAGGAAUAUUGGACAAUGGAGGAGACUCUGAUCCAGCCAUGCCGCGUGCAGGAAGAAUGCCCUAUGGGUAGUAAACUGCUUUUAUACGGGAAGAAAAAGAGCUACGUGUAGCUUACUGACGGUACCGUAAGAAUAAGGACCGGCUAACUCCGUGCCAGCAGCCGCGGUAAUAC